UAGCUCAGUUGGUAGAGUGCUUGCCUUGCAUGCAAGCACAAGGCUGUGGGUUCAAUCCCCAGC
rnacentral:tRNA from 1 species